UACGAAGGGGGCGAGCGUUGUUCGGAUUUACUGGGCGUAAAGCGCGCGUAGGCGGUUUGCUAAGUGGGAUGUGAAAUCCCCGGGCUUAACCUGGGAAUUGCAUUUCAAACUGGCCGACUAGAGUACGGUAGAGGGAGGUAGAAUUUCCUGUGUAGCGGUGAAAUGCGUAGAUAUAGGAAGGAAUACCAGUGGCGAAGGCGGCCUCCUGGAUCGAUACUGACGCUGAGGCGCGAAAGCGUGGGGAGCAAACAGG
rnacentral:rRNA from 1 species